rnacentral:lncRNA from 1 species
GAAAGAUAGGCCUCUAAGAAAGCUAACUGAGCCCCAGAAAAAGAGACAAGACUUUGAAGGAAACAAUAAAGGAUUUUAACUUUAACUCCUAGCUGCAUUUGAGGUGAUUAUUGAACUGAAAAGAAACCUGCUCCCAGAGAACAUUACAUUUUAGAGAAGAAUAUUACCUUUUGGCGUCCGAAUGUGGGACAGAUACGAUCCUGAUUUCAGUGGAAAAACCUCUGAUCCUGAUUUCAAUGGAAUAGUCUCCUUGACCCAGAAAUUAGUAUGGAGAAGGAAUCAGAUGGGUGCCAACGAGCCAUAUUCGCCUUGUCCCUCAGAGAGACAGAAAAAAGAGGAAAACCUCGAAACAAAGGAGAAGACAUAAGAACAAAAUCUGCAGGAAUCAUUGGAUUCUCUAACACAUGAUGAGACUAUUGCAGGACUUCAAAACUUUCAGGAAUUAUUGUAUUCCUGGCACAUGAACUAAUGGACAAUAGAUUCCUUUUGGACUAUUUCUAGGACUUAUGGACAUGUAUAAUUCCUCAUGUUGAUUCGUGUUAUUUGUUACAUCCCUACUAGCCUGUGUUACUAUGUACUUAUGUAAUUAUGUGUAAUACCUCCUAUAUUGAUGGAUUUAUGUGUACCUGUUUUAAGAGUGAGCCCCUUCAGAAACCCGCUAAUCUGAUUUGAUUUCCCAUUUCCUUUGGUGUUUUCAUCUCCCUUCCUGAGCAGUCAGGGAGGGCAUGAUCACCUCCUUUUACGGUGUUUUCAUCCCCUUUUUGAGCAGUCAGGGAAGGUGUGAUCACCUUCUUUUUGGGGGUUCUCACCUCCUUGAGAAAUCAGAGAGGUCAUCCAUCACCACCUAUGUUCUAAAAACAAAAGAAAGCAGAUGUUAGGAUUCUUACAAGGUACUAAGUGGAAUUGAGGAGACAAUAGUUAAAUCUAGUUUAGCAUUGAUUUAAUCCUACAACAAAUAAUGGUUUCCCAGUGAUAUAAUGAUUGGUGCAUACUCAUAUAAGGAGGAGCUGUCAGGGCCAGAAAGGACAAGCCCACUAGAAGCUCUCAGAGGCUGAGACAGAUUCAUUCCAUCUUCUACCUUUGUGCUGGCUGGAGGCUGAAGCACAAACUUUUGGAUUUGGAGACUUUGGAGGAAACUAGAGGCAGAAGCUGGCAGAGGCAAAGGACUAGCAGCAGGAGCUCUCAGAACCAAGGAGAGAGAUAGAUCUCUAAGAAAGCUAACCGGGCCUCAGGAAAAGAGACAAGACUUUGAAGGAGACAAUAAAGGAUUUGAACUUUAAUUCCUUUUGAGGUGAUUAUUGAACUGAAAAGAAACCUGCUCCCAGAGAACAUUACAUUUUAGAGAAGAAUAUUACAGUCAAACACUAUUUCAUGUCAUUUGC